rnacentral:rRNA from 1 species
AUUGAACGCUGGCGGCAGGCUUAACACAUGCAAGUCGAACGAGUGGCGGACGGGUGAGUAAUGUCUGGGAACCUGCCUGAUGGAGGGGGAUAACUACUGGAAACGGUAGCUAAUACCGCAUACCAUCGGAUGUGCCCAGAUGGGAUUAGCUAGUUGGUGGGGUAAAGGCUCACCUAGGCGACGAUCCCUAGCUGGUCUGAGAGGAUGACCAGCCACACUGGGACUGAGACACGGUCCAGACUCCUACGGGAGGCAGCAGUGGGGAAUAUUGGACAAUGGGCGCAAGCCUGAUGCAGCCAUGCCGCGUGUAUGAAGAAGGCCUUCGGGUUGUAAAGUACUUUCAGCGGGGAGGCGUUACCUGCAGAAGAAGCACCGGCUAACUACGUGCCAGCAGCCGCGGUAAUAC